GCCUACAGCCAUCCCACCCUGAACGUGCCCGAUCUCGUCUGAUCUCAGAAGUUAAGCGGGGUCGGGCCUGGUUAUACUUGGAUGAGAGGGUGAGCUUGUGUGUGGCAAGUGGGAGUGUGCU
rnacentral:rRNA from 1 species